rnacentral:sRNA from 1 species
AUGAAAAUUGGAGAAAGCAGAAAGAGCAUGCGGCAACGUUUCUGAAGAGGCAGACAUUUUGUUCGUACCAGUGAAGAUUCUCUCAUUUCUCUCCUUCCCUCCGCCGCUCCCUCCUCCAUCUCCGUCACCAAACGCUCGCUUUCUCCCUCGCUCUCUCUCUGUCAAACUACAAGCUAUGGGAGGCAGAGGAGUUAUCGGAGAUCGAUGGUCCAUGAGGAUUCUCUGGGCGUGUGCAAUCGGCAGUGCUGUCAGCCUAUAUAUGGUUGCUGUGGACAGACAACUAAAGAACAGGGAACGAGCGCUGGCUGAAGAGUUAAAAGCCAUGGAGGCAGAAUCAGGCAGCGGUGAGGUUGUUUGACUGUUGAUAAAUUAUAGGCAAUGACUAGCUUAGAGCUUUCCAGAUAUCCCUGAGUUCGCAUCUUUGUCAUUUUGGCCAUUGUGAGGAUCAAGUAAAAUGUUGUCCGCUGACCAGAAUUUCCCGAUUCUGGUUUUUGGAGGAUGAUAAUGUAUAAGUGGUUGCAGAGACUGUUCUCUGCACAGGAAUCUAUGUUUGAGAAUGACGAUGUUUGGUGACUGGUGUCCAGUCUCUGACAUUUCUUUUGCGAUGCAUUCAAACGCGUUAGCAACAUUUUCAUUCCCUCUCAUUAGUUUCAUCCCAAAACUGCUUGAAUAGUCCUUUAUUCAAAA